rnacentral:rRNA from 1 species
GAUGAACGCUGGCGGCGUGCCUAAUACAUGCAAGUCGAGCGAACAGACGAGGAGCUUGCUCCUCUGACGUUAGCGGCGGACGGGUGAGUAACACGUGGAUAACCUACCUAUAAGACUGGGAUAACUUCGGGAAACCGGAGCUAAUACCGGAUAACAUGUUGAACCGCAUGGUUCAACAGUGAAAGACGGUCUUGCUGUCACUUAUAGAUGGAUCCGCGCCGCAUUAGCUAGUUGGUAAGGUAACGGCUUACCAAGGCAACGAUGCGUAGCCGACCUGAGAGGGUGAUCGGCCACACUGGAACUGAGACACGGUCCAGACUCCUACGGGAGGCAGCAGUAGGGAAUAUUCCGCAAUGGGCGAAAGCCUGACGGAGCAACGCCGCGUGAGUGAAGAAGGUCUUCGGAUCGUAAAACUCUGUUAUUAGGGAAGAACAAAUGUGUAAGUAACUAUGCACGUCUUGACGGUACCUAAUCAGAAAGCCACGGCUAACUACGUG